UACGGGGGGGGCAAGCGUUGUUCGGAAUUACUGGGCGUAAAGGGCUCGUAGGCGGCCAACUAAGUCAGACGUGAAAUCCCCAGGCUUAACCUGGGAACUGCGUCUGAUACUGGAUGGCUUGAGUUCGGGAGAGGGAUGCGGAAUUCCAGGUGUAGUGGUGAAAUGCGUAGAUAUCUGGAGGAACACCGGUGGCGAAGGCGGCAUCCUGGACCGACACUGACACUGAGGAGCGAAAGCCAGGGGAGCAAACGGG
rnacentral:rRNA from 1 species